UCAAGUGACUAAGUGCAUGUGGCGGAUGCCUUGGCGAUCACAGGCGAAGAAAGACGCGGCAGCCUGCGAAAAGCUGCGGGGAGCUGGCAAACGAGCUUUGAUCCGCAGAUAUCUGAAUGGGGGAACCCACACCGCAAGGUGUAUCCGUGACUGAAUACAUAGGUUACGGAGGCGAACGAGGAGAACUGAAACAUCUAAGUAUCCUCAGGAAAAGAAAUCAACCGAGAUUCCGGCAGUAGCGGCGAGCGAACCCGGAGGAGCCUAGCUUUUGAUAGUACGAACUUUAGCCGAAAGGUCCUGGAAAGGCCUGCUAUAGUGGGUGAUAGCCCCGUAGGCGAAAGAGUUCGUAUGGUACUAAGGAAGCGAGAAGUAGAGCGGGACACGUGGAAUCCUGUUCGAAGAUGGGGGGACCAUCCUCCAAGGCUAAAUACUCGUGAUCGACCGAUAGUGAACCAGUACCGUGAGGGAAAGGCGAAAAGAACCCCGGGAGGGGAGUGAAAUAGAACCUGAAACCGCAUGCAUACAAACAGUAGGAGCCUCGUCAGAGGUGACUGCGUACCUUUUGCAUAAUGGGUCAGCGACUUACAUUCUGUGGCGAGCUUAACCGAAUAGGGGAGGCGCAGCGAAAGCGAGUUCGAAAUGAGCGUCCAGUCGCAGGGUGUAGACCCGAAACCAGAUGAGCUAUCCAUGGCCAGGUUGAAGGUGUGGUAACACACACUGGAGGACCGAACCGACUAGUGUUGCAAAAUUAGCGGAUGAGCUGUGGAUAGGGGUGAAAGGCCAAACAAAUCUGGAGAUAGCUGGUUCUCCCCGAAAACUAUUGAGGUAGUGCCUCGUGUGUCGCUCCAGGGGGUAGAGCACUGUUUUGGCUAGGGGGACAUGGAGUCUUACCAAACCAAGGCAAACUCCGAAUACCUGGAAGCGUGAGCACGGGAGACAGAGCACCGGGUGCUAACGUCCGGACUCAAAAGGGAAACAACCCAGACCGCCGGCUAAGGUCCCCAAUAACAGCUAAGUGGAAAACGAAGUGGAAAGGCCGUGACAACCAGGAAGUUGGCUUAGAAGCAGCCAUCCUUCAAAGAAAGCGUAAUAGCUCACUGGUCGAGUCCUUCUGCGCGGAAGAUGUAACGGGGCUAAGCUGUUAACCGAAGCCGCGGAUGCACUGAUUAUUCAGUGCGUGGUAGGGGAGCGUUCUGUAAGUCUGCGAAGGCGGUUCGAGAGGACUGCUGGAGAUAUCAGAAGUGCGAAUGCUGACAUGAGUAACGUUAAAGCAGGUGAAAAGCCUGCUCGCCGUAAGCCCAAGGAUUCCUGCUCUACGUUCAUCGGAGCAGGGUGAGUCGGCUCCUAAGGUCAGGCCGAAAGGCGUAGCCGAUGGGAAUCAGGUUAAUAUUCCUGAACCUGCGUCAGAUGCGAUGGGGGGACGGAGCAUGAAAGAUCAUCCGGGUGUUGGAUGUCCCGGUUGACGAGCGUAGGAGGUCUGCAGGCAAAUCCGCAGACGCAUCUCCAAGGCAAAGACACGUGCCGCCACGGCGGCGAAGUGAUCGGAAGUGCUUCCAAGAAAAGCCUCUAAGCACCAGUCUGACGCGGACCGUACCGCAAACCGACACUGGUGGGCGAGCUGAAUAUGCUCAGGCGCUUGAGAGAACUCGGGAGAAGGAACUCGGCAAAUUGACACCGUAACUUCGGAAGAAGGUGUGCCGUAGUACCGUGAGAGGAGAGACACCUUGAGCGGGAAUCGGUCUCAGAGAAUAGGUGGCUGCGACUGUUUAUUAAAAACACAGCACUCUGCAAAGUCGAAAGACGACGUAUAGGGUGUGAUGCCUGCCCGGUGCUGGAAGAUUAAUUGAUGGGGUGAGAGCCCUUGAUCGAAGUCCCAGUAAACGGCGGCCGUAACUAUAACGGUCCUAAGGUAGCGAAAUUCCUUGUC
rnacentral:rRNA from 1 species